rnacentral:rRNA from 1 species
UACGUAGGGUGCAAGCGUUAAUCGGAAUUACUGGGCGUAAAGCGUGCGCAGGCGGUGAUCCAAGACAGGCGUGAAAUCCCCGGGCUUAACCUGGGAACUGCAUUUGUGACUGCAUCGCUGGAGUGCGGCAGAGGGGGAUGGAAUUCCGCGUGUAGCAGUGAAAUGCGUAGAUAUGCGGAGGAACACCGAUGGCGAAGGCAAUCCCCUGGGCCUGCACUGACGCUCAUGCACGAAAGCGUGGGGAGCAAACAGG